rnacentral:rRNA from 1 species
CUACGGGUGGCUGCAGUGAGGAAUUUUGCGCAAUGGGCGAAAGCCUGACGCAGCAACGCCGCGUGAGUGAUGAAGGCCUUCGGGUCGUAAAGCUCUGUCAAGUGGGAAGAACCUAUGUAAUGUUAAUAUCAUUAUAUACUGACGGUACCACUGAAGGAAGCACCGGCUAACUCCGUGCCAGCAGCCGCGGUAAUACGGGGGGUGCAAGCGUUAUUCGGAAUCAUUGGGCGUAAAGGGCACGUAGGCGGCCUGGUAAGUCAGAUGUGAAAGCCCGGGGCUUAACCCCGGAAGUGCAUUUGGUACUGUCAGGCUUGAGUAUGGGAGAGGGAAGUGGAAUUCCUGGUGUAGAGGUGAAAUUCGUAGAUAUCAGGAGGAACACCGGUGGCGAAGGCGACUUCCUGGACCAAUACUGACGCUGAGGUGCGAAGGCGUGGGUAGCAAACAGGAUUAGAUACCCGUGUAGUC